rnacentral:tRNA from 1 species
UCUGAUGUGGUGUAAUGGUAGCAUGCCUGACUGUCUCUCAGAAGGUCUGGGUUAAAUUCCUGGCGUCAGAG